CAACUGUCCAUACGUACACUUGGACCUCACUUGGACACACUGGAUAAUACCCUGGAUGUGCACCCUUCAACUGUUCCAUGCGGCUUGUAACCUAUAAGUAACAGACCAGCCAGAUCGGAUUCAGCCAGAAACAGAAGUCUACUGUCGAACUGACCCACCUGUGACCUGAAGAAUGGAACCUGACUGAAAGUGCUGACCUGGUAUACAGCUAUCUAUGAGCCCUCCAUUUCAAUGAGAAUGCUGCACGAGACCAGGCCACCACGUCCACAGAUCCCCUCUACAGGAUCCAUUACUCCAAUGCCAUGAAGAGGGAGGCAAGAGUGAAGCCCGUAUAAAAUGAGGCAAC